AAAAAAGGGUUUGAGUGCUCUCCCCCCUCUCUGGGUUAACCCAGAAUUCGGCCAAGUGGGGUCGCCAGACUGCCGCCAGGUUGCCGCCGGUCGCCGUCGCCGGCCACCGCGGAAUUUCAAAAGGUAUUUUUUUUCUUUUUUUUUGCUAUAUUUAUAUCUAAAUAUAUAUAUACUGUUUUUGAAAGAAAAAAAGAGAAUAUGUUUAUAUGUAUAUAAAAAAAUGAAAAUAAAAAGGAAAAAGAAAUAAAAUCUUAACGCGUUUGAAUAUUUUUUUCUUCAAUACUUGCUGUUUUUCUUUAUUCAGAUGUGUUUGAAAACCUUUUGCAUUUACAUUCUUCUCCUUUUUUGUAUCCAAAAAAAACCCGAAUACAUUUGUUUCUUUUUUGGCUUUAUAGCCUCUUACAAAAGUUCUUUAUUACUAUUUGCAUUCUACUGUUUCUGCUCUGUCUUGCGUGUCUCUUUUUCUCUGUUUGCAGGUGAUGGAACGAGAGCAGGUGGUGGCAGCAGGCUAGGAGGAGGCGUGUGGGCAUGCUGGUACGGCGGCUGAACCUAGGGGGCCUAAGGUUUUUUCUUUUUUUGAUUUUGUCUGGGCUAGGGUUAGGUUAAACUAUUGGGUUUGGGCUUGAAUUGGGUAUAUUAGGUUUUGGGUCUGUUGGUUUAGUUUAUUUGAGCUUUUUAUUUAAUUGUUGGGUUAAUUGGUAGGGCUUUUGAGGCUCGGGCAGAAUCGGGCUUGUACAAUAUUACUACUUUAUUUUUUAUUUGGAUAUCGUA
rnacentral:lncRNA from 1 species